GAGGGAUUUUGUGGUUGAGGUAGGCGAUGAUGAAUGUUGAGCGAGUGUUUUGUUUCAGAGAGAGAGUGGCGUGAGUGUUGAGAGUGAGAGGUAUUUUUUUUGCUGAAUGUUGUAUUGAGAGUGGCGAGUGAACAGUGCGUGAGGAGGGUUUUAUGGAUUAGAUAGAGAGUGAGUGUACGUGAGAGGAUAAGAAGAAAGUUGGCAGACCGUUGGGAGUGGAUUGGAGAGGAUCCUAGGAGAUUUUUUUUAUUUCUUUUUUUAGUAUUUUU
rnacentral:lncRNA from 1 species